GCCUUCUUAGCUCAGUGGUAGAGCGUUGGUCUCGUAAACCAAAGGUCGAGAGAUCAAUCCUCUCAGGAGGCA